rnacentral:rRNA from 1 species
GCACCACAAGGGGUGAAGCCUGCGGUUCAAUUGGACUCAACGCCGGGAAACUUACCAGGGGAGACAGCAGAAUGACGGUCAGGUUGACGACCUUACCUAACGAGCUGAGAGGAGGUGCAUGGCCGUCGCCAGUUCGUGCUGUGAGGUAUCCUGUUAAGUCAGGCAACGAACGAGAUCCGCGCCUUUAUUUGCCAGCAAGAAGUCACGACUUCGUUGGGAACACUAAAGGGACCGCCGUCGAUAAGACGGAGGAAGGAGCGGGCAAAGGCAGGUCAGUAUGCCCCGAAACCCCUGGGCUACACGCGGGCUGCAAUGGUAUGAACAAUGGGCUGUGACUCCGAAAGGAGAAACCAAUCCCGAAAUCAUAUCUCAGUUGGAAUUGUCGGCUGUAACCCGCCGACAUGAACGCGGAAUCCCUAGUAAUCGUGUGUCAUCAUCGCACGGUGAAUACGUCUCUGCUCCUUGCACACACCGCCCGUCGCUCCAUCCGAGUGUGCUAAAAAUGAGGUUUGGUCAAUCUGGUCAUAUCGAGUUUCUAGUAUGCGAGGAGGGAG